GCAUCGGUAGCUCAGUGGUAGAAUUCUUGCCUUCCAUGCAGGAGAACUGGGUUCAAUUCCCAGUCAAUGCA